rnacentral:rRNA from 1 species
UACAGAGGGUGCGAGCGUUGUCCGGAUUGACUGGGCGUAAAGCGCACGCAGGCGGAUGCGCGCGUGGGGUGUGAAAUCUGGCCGCUUAACGGCCAGGCGCCAUCCCAUACGGCGCGUCUGGAGUGAUGCAGAGGUCGAUGGAAUUGCCGGUGUAGUGGUGAAAUGCGUAGAGAUCGGCAGGAACACCCAGGGGGAAACCAGUCGACUGGGCAUCUACUGACGCUGAGGUGCGAGAGCGUGGGGAGCGAACCGG